rnacentral:rRNA from 1 species
AUUGAACGCUGGCGGUAUGCCUUACACAUGCAAGUCGAACGGUAGAGGGGCAACCCUCGAGAGUGGCGAACGGGUGAGUAAUACAUCGGAACGUGCCCAGUCGUGGGGGAUAACGUAGCGAAAGCUACGCUAAUACCGCAUACGACCCGAGGGCGAAAGCGGGGGGCCUGGACGGGGCACGCGAGAGUGGAGCGGCCGAUGGCAGAUUAGGUAGUUGGUGGGGUAAAGGCCCACCAAGCCUGCGAUCUGGAGCUGGUCUGAGAGGACGACCAGCCACACUGGGACUGAGACACGGCCCAGACUCCUACGGGAGGCAGCAGUGGGGAAUGUUAGACAAUGGGCGAAAGCCUGAUCCAGCCAUACCGCGUGCGGGAAGAAGGCCUUCGGGUUGUAAACCGCUUUUGUCAGGGAAGAAAUCUUCCGGGUUAAUACCUCGGGGGGAUGACGGUACCUGAAGAAUAAGCACCGGCUAACUACGUGCCAGCAGCCGCGGUAAGAC